rnacentral:rRNA from 1 species
CCUACGGGAGGCAGCAGUGGGGAAUAUUGCACAAUGGGGGAAACCCUGAUGCAGCGACGCCGCGUGAGUGAAGACGUAUUUCGGUAUGUAAAGCUCUAUCAGCCGGGAAGCAGAAAGACGGUACCUGACUAAGAAGCCCUGGCUAACUACGGGCCAGCAGCCGCGUGCCUACGGAGGGGUCAAGCAUUAUCCGGAUUUACUGGGUGUAAAGGGAGGGUAGAUGGCUGUGCAAGUCUGAAGGGAAAGCUCAGGGCUCAAACCUGGUACUGCUUUGGAAACUGUGGAGCUAGAGUGCUGGAGAGGUAAGUGGAAUUCGUGGUGUAGCGGUGAAAUGCAUAGAUAUCAGGAGGAACACCAAUGGCGAAGGCAGCAUACUGGAGAGCAACUGACGGUGAGGCACGAAAGCGUGGGUAGCGAACAGGAUUAGAUACCCCAGUAGUC